ACUGGGCUGGCUCAGCCGGAGGAGCACAAGACUCUUGAUCUUGGGGUCAUGAGUUCAAGCCCCAUGUGGGGUG
rnacentral:tRNA from 1 species